rnacentral:lncRNA from 1 species
UCCAAUUCAUUCCAUUCCAUUCCACUGCACUACAUUCCACUGAAUUCCACUCCACUCCACUCCUCCUUUUCAUUCCAUUCCAUUCCAUUGCAUUCCAUUCCAUUCCAUUCCAUUCCAUUCCAUUCCAUUCCAUUCCAUUCCAUUCCAUUCCAUUCCAUUCCGCUCAGGUUGAUUCAAUUGCAUUCUAUUGCAUUCUAUUCUAUUGCAUUCAAUUCCAUUCCAUUGCAUUGCAUUCCCCUCCCAUUCAUUCAAUUAGAGUCUAUUCCAUUCCAUUCCUUUCCAUUCCAUUCCAUUCCAAUGUGGUUGAUUCAAUUCCACUCUCUUCCAUUCCAUUCCAUUUCAUUCCAUUCCAUUCCAUUCCAUUCCAUUCCAUUCCAUUCCAUUCCAUUCCAUUCCAUUCCAUUCCAUUCCACUCGGGUUCACUCAAUUCCAUUCUAUUCCAAUCCAUUCCAUUCCAUUCCAUUCCAUUCCAUUCCAUUCCAUUCCAUUCCAUUCAGUUUGAUUCCAUUUCAUUCCAUUCCUUUCCUUUCCAUUGCAUUCCAUUCCAUUCCAUUCCAUUCCAUUCCAUUCCAUUCCAUUCCAUUCCAUUCCAUUCCACUCGGGUUGAUUCCAUUCCUUUCCUAUCCAUUCUAUUUCAUGCCAUUCCACUCGGGUUGAUUCAAUUCCAUUGUAUUCCAUUCCAUUCCAUUCCAUUCCAUUCCAUUCCAUUCCAUUCCAUUCCAUUCCACUCGGUUUCAUUCAAUUCCUUUCCA